UACGUAGGGUGCAAGCGUUGUCCGGAAUUAUUGGGCGUAAAGAGCUCGUAGGCGGUUUGUCGCGUCUGCCGUGAAAGUCCGGGGCUCAACUCCGGAUCUGCGGUGGGUACGGGCAGACUAGAGUGAUGUAGGGGAGACUGGAAUUCCUGGUGUAGCGGUGAAAUGCGCAGAUAUCAGGAGGAACACCGAUGGCGAAGGCAGGUCUCUGGGCAUUAACUGACGCUGAGGAGCGAAAAGCAUGGGGGAGCGAACAGG
rnacentral:rRNA from 1 species